CCCAGCCCUUUUCACUCAUUUCCUCUGGAAGAAGAGCUAAAUGAAUUGGGAUUUGGAAAGGCUGCACAGGUGCUUGGAGACGGGAAGAGGCAUGAAGGCUUCCUUGGACACAAACAGCUUCUGAGGGAGAAGACUGAGUGAGGAGCCUGCUGAGCCUACCCUGGCACUGUGGAGGAUCUGGGAGAGCUCCAGCCCUGCUGAAGCUGAGCCCCCUGGGCAGCGCCAUGGACUCUCCCCACCUCUUGCUCUUGGGUUUCCUGAUCCUGGACCUUGCUGCUCCCCAUCCAAGUAUUGCCAUGUCCACUGUUGUCCCUGUUGAAGGGACAGAAGACUCUUCCCCUGGCAGCACAACUGUGACGGUCUACCACUGUAAGGACUGUAACAGCAGCACAUGCAAGUCUAAGGCAAAAAGUUUUGAAAACUUCCAAAA